GGGUAAUAUGUGUAUGCAUAUAAAUACGACAAUGGAAAAAUGAAGAUAAUACAAUCUUAUUUAACCAAUCUAAUCAAACAAACAACUAAUUUAAAACAACAAAGUUUACAAGCGUGGGUAAACCACGAUUGAUAUACUAAUACAUAAGGAGGUGAACUAAUGAUGUGCAACGAAUAUACACGAAAUAAUAUGAAACAAUU
rnacentral:lncRNA from 1 species